GAUGAACGCUGGCGGCGUGCUUAACACAUGCAAGUCGAACGGUGAAGCAGGAGCUUGCUCUUGUGGAUCAGUGGCGAACGGGUGAGUAACACGUGAGCAACCUGCCCCUGACUCUGGGAUAAGCGCUGGAAACGGCGUCUAAUACUGGAUAUGUGAUGUGACCGCAUGGUCUGCAUCUGGAAAGAAUUUCGGUUGGGGAUGGGCUCGCGGCCUAUCAGCUUGUUGGAGAGGUAAUGGCUAACCAAGGCGUCGACGGGUAGCCGGCCUGAGAGGGUGACCGGCCACACUGACUGAGACACGGCCCAGACUCCUACGGGAGGCAGCAGUGGGGAAUAUUGCACAAUGGGCGGAAGCCUGAUGCAGCAACGCCGCGUGAGGGAUGACGGCCUUCGGGUUGUAAACCUCUUUUAGCAGGGAAGAAGCGAAAGUGACGGUACCUGCAGAAAAAGCACCGGCUAACUACGUGCCAGCCGCCGCAGUAA
rnacentral:rRNA from 1 species